rnacentral:rRNA from 1 species
CUCAAUGAAAUUUCAAUAGCCGCAUACUCUGUGCUAAGGUAGCAUAAUCAUUUGCUUUUUGAUUAAAAGCUAGAACAAAAGAUUUAACAUUUUUAUUUCUUUCUUUAAUGUAAAAAUUUAAUUUAUUUUAAAUAUAAAAAAAUAUUUUUAUAAUAAAAAGACGACAAGACCCUAUUGAACUUAACUAAAGUUAAACUGGGGUAGUUAAUUAAAUAAAAUUUUAAUUUAAAUUUCAAAAACACCUAAUACAAUUAAAACAAUCAAGUUACCAUAGGGAUAACAGCGUAAUAAUUUUUUUUAGAUCUUAUUAAAAAAAUUGAUUGCGACCUCGAUGUUGAAUUAAUAUUCUAUUAAAUGCAAUAAUUUAAUAAGAAAGUCUGUUCGACUU